rnacentral:rRNA from 1 species
UACGUAGGUGGCAAGCGUUGUUCGGAAUUAUUGGGCGUAAAGAGCUCGUAGGCGGUUUGUCGCGUCUGCCGUGAAAGUCCGGGGCUCAACUCCGGAUCUGCGGUGGGUACGGGCAGACUAGAGUGAUGUAGGGGAGACUGGAAUUCCUGGUGUAGCGGUGAAAUGCGUAGAUAUCGAGAGGAACACCUGCGGCGAAGGCGGGUUGCUGGGCUGACACUGACGCUGAUGUGCGAAAGCUAGGGGAGCGAACGGG